ACGUUUUUUUUUGUUUUUUUUUUCCUUGCUUGGUCAAGACUACGAAUAAUUUUCCUAUGGUUUAUACUACAUUCUUUACAAAAGGUCAUCUGCUUCUCCUCUCCACUCCACAAAGGUCAAUGAACCACAGGGAGCACCCCCUGCAAAGCUGUUUGUAGAGCCAGGAUGGAUCUAAACAAACUCUGAUAAAUGGCUCAGCUCACCGCUACCACCCCUGCGCUGACUCGGGAGGGGCAAGGAUGAACACACGCUGUCCUCCGAAGCGUGUGCCGUCAGCCAACCGCUUCUUUUCACACUGCAGACCCACCAUGCAGCCACCUCAGAGCUACAGCGUCGGAGGACAACGCAGCUCUGGGUAGAUUACAGCAUUUUGGCGCGUUCACAAGUUUAUAAUGAUUUAAAGAAGCUUUGGUUGAAUUGUCUUACCGGAUAGUUGAUGCCAAUUAUAGAUAACUCAAGGCUAAGUUGAAGAUUAUUAUAAGACCAUGUGCUAUUUUCAACAUAUUCUCAUUGGCUUCACAAGGGUUAUGUCCUCCGAAGCGUGUGCCGUCAGCCGCCCGCUUUUUUACACUCUGCAGACUCACCGUGCAGCCGCCUCAGAGCUACAGCGUCGGAGGACAACGCAGCUCUGGGCAGCUUACAGGCAAGCCCGCAGGCGCCCGGCCAGACUACAGGGGUCGCUGGCUGUGGAAUAGCCUGGACUCGAACUCGCGACGUCCAGGCUAUAGAGCUCAUCCUGCACUCUAGCGAGUGCUUUUACUGGAUGCGCCACUUGGGAGCCCCAAUUCAUAGUUUAAUCAAUUUCAGUUUCAAUUCAAUUUCUAUCCAUUAUAAAAAAGAGUCAAAUGAAAUAGCCAAGGCUAUAGAAUAAUAAAGGGUGUUCUGACCAUUGCGUUUGGUCCUAAUUAAAAUUAUUAUAUUGUCUUUAAUUUGUGUUGCUUUAUACUGCUGCCAAGUAACACAGUGUUCAAAUAAAUAAACCAUUUCUAUGACUCUUCAAUUGAGAUAAGCAAAACAAAACACAAAUAAAGUACUCAGUACAAACUUAUUUAUAUUUAUAAUGCCUCAGAGUGUGCGAUUUAAGCCCGAUAAUGCAUUGCUGGCAUGUAUAUUGUUUUCAAAUAUGAUUUUUCAGCCAAAUGUCUGUUUCAUAUAAUGCUUGUAAGACAAAUCUGCACAUUUCAUCAUGUUCUUUUUCCUGUAUCUGAUUUUCAAACUGAUUUGAAAUUUAAUUGUAUCCAUUCUUUAGAUAGCAACAGAACCACACUUUUGGCUUUUCCUCUGAAAGUGAGUUCGUUUGGAAUUGUCUGUCCAUCUGUUACCCACAGAUACGUUUUCAGGGCACAGUCUGAACUGAUUUAAAAACUAAUCAGAACAAUCUGUGGGUUCAUCUUUGCUUGCGGUUCCAAACAUGUUUUCAUUUAUUUAUUUAUCUUAUUGUUUGGGCAGCAGUGUGGAGUAGUGGUUAGGGCUCUGGACUGGGUUCAAUCCCUGGUGGGGGACACUGCUGCUGGACCCUUGAGCAAGGUACUUUACCUAGAUUGCUCCAGUAAAAACCCAACUGUAUAAAUGGGUAAUUGUAUGUAAAAAUAAUGUGUAAAAAAUAAUGUAAUUGUAUGUAAAAAUAAUGUGAUAUCUUGUAACAAUUGUAAGUUGCCCUGGAUAAGGGUGUCUGCUAAGAAAU